GAAGUGACAGUGUGAGAAGAAUGCACAUAGACCCUUUCCUUACCCCCAUGUCGACGAAAGAAAGGAGUAAAGCCUUCAGUUUGGCAGAUGUGGAUAAGAGGUCUCCGGAGAAGAAAAACUGUUACACACGGGCUGGGGUGUGUUCUUGAAUGACUGUGCAGGCGUCAUCCCUAAGCCAAGCUCAGAAGGCCACUUCCUGACUGGCAGAAGUUGUUUCCCAAAGCACUUCGUACAGAGAAGGCAGAAGCUAGACUUAGAAAAACUGAAUGUUAGAUCAAAUACUGCAAGUUUAGUGCAGAAGCCCUCUAGUUUGAGUUCUGGCCUGGUCUUUGAGAGCACAGCUUCUCUGUUGCAAAGCUGACACUCUGUAAAUUUAGUUCAGGAGGUAUGUGUUCUAAAAUGCUCUUACUUAGGAAAGUAACUGCUGGCCAUCAGCUUUGCUGUCCUGCCUCUGGCUCUUUUCCUUCAUGCUACUAGGUGGCUGAGCCACGACCUCCCACCUCAUCUCCCCAUCAGAGUCUUCAGACCUACUCACUGCAGGCAGACGGGUCACUUAAUCCCUCAUUUAUGCAGGCUUAACCAAUCAGCUUCCAGUCAUAGCCAAACGUAAGCUCACUUGGGAGUAUCUUACUGCUCUUGAAAGAGCUGCUUUUCUAUCUCAAAGCUUUGCUUGCUCUUCUGCUGUCCUCACUAGUCAUUCCGUGCCAUCAGGAGACAACAUAGGAGCCACUGCCGCAGAGUGACGGGUGGCCAUUGAGUUGUCAGGGCCCGAGUCCUCUAAACUAAGCUCAUUCUCAGCCAAGGAAUGGACUCCCUUGCCCUCAAAGCCCCCUACAGUGUUCCUGUGGAUGCUGGCCAUGAGCUGCCUGUUUCAGGAAAUCCACAAGCAGGGUCAAGCUUGGACCAGCAUGGAGGUAAGCCCAUGCUAAAACCCCAUCACUAGUGAGUGAAGCUAGAGGACCAUUCAAGACCAGCCUGUGCUACAUAGCAAGACUGUCUUGAAAGAAAGAGAAAGAAAAGAAAAGAAAGGAAACAAGCUUGUCUUAUGUGUGCUCACACACACAUAUUAAAUGCUGGUUCUUUUCCCUGAAUAAAGAAAGCACUGAUUUCUGAAUCUCAGAGAACCUAAAUCUAAAACCAAUGGCCUUUCCUAAAAAAGACUUAAGUGAACAGUUGACUGGUGGGUGUGUUGUGGUGACUCAUCUUAGACCUUCCACUGGAUCACGGUAUUUGACCGUGUCAGUCUGCAUAGUUGCCCUGAUUGGUAGUUUGUUAUCUGUUUUGUACACUUCUGUUACAAGUGAAGAUUUUCUACAACUAAGGCAAACGACCAGUUGAAAUGAACUACAGGAACCUGAGAAAAUGUUUAUGUAUAGCCUGAAGUUGAAAAGGGAUAAUAAUCUAUUUAUUGAUACUGUUGUUUAUGUUGUUAUCUCUCAGAGAUGCAUGUUGUGCUAUAACAUGGUACAAGGAAUAAAAGUUUAUCAG
rnacentral:lncRNA from 1 species